rnacentral:tRNA from 1 species
UCUAAUAUGGCAGAUUAGUGUAAUGAGUUUAAGUUUCAUAUAUAAAGUUAUAUACUUUUGUUAGAA